AGCGCUCGUUUGUUUUGUAACCCGGCGUCUCGCGCUUCUCCUGGCACCGCCUCAUUGGCGGUCCCGGCGAAGCGGGCGACUUCUCAUUGGAAGGCCGCCGCUGCCACUCACGUGCCCACCUGAGGGGGCGGUCCGCAGGCUCGGGGGCGGUCCGUGCCGUCGGGGGCGUGGCCAAGGCGGUUGCGGAGGCGGGCCCGAGGCUCAGAGUGGGCCGGGGUGUGGCGCGAGGGGGCGGGGCUUCUCGCAGAAAGGGGGCGGGGCUAGCGGCGGGGGCGGGGCGAGGCCAGGGGAGCCUCGCAAGCGGAGAUUGCCCUUGUGUCUCGAGCCGGGAAGCGGCUGGGAGCGGAGCAGCCUCGCCGCAGCGCCCGCCGGCAGCGGGACGAGACGGGACGGGACAGGCGAGCGAAGCGGAGCGGAGCGGCGGGCAGGCGCGGCGCUGGGGGCGAGCGGAGCCACCGGGGGCAGCCGGCACCGCUCCGCGGGGGGAACCUGCUCGGCAGCGGCAGAGAGCGCCGCUCCCCCCCUCCUCCCUCCCCAAUCCACCCCCGCGACCCUGGUCCUCCUCCUCCUCCUCCUCCUCACCCCACUGGAUACAGCGAGGGAGACACUGCGGCGGAGGCGGCGGCGGCGGCUCCUGCGGGGGGAAGGAAGCGCCCGGAGAGCGGAGCGGCGGGAGGCUGCGGAUCUGCGUGCCUGGCGCCCACCCAGCCCGAGGGGAGCCCCCAGCAUGCGGCUGAAGCCCGGCGCGCUCCUGCGCUUCUACAGCCUCUGCGGGAUCCUCAUACAAGGUUUUGUCUGUCUAUCUAACAGACAAGGCAGGAUCACAAGGACUGAAUAGCACUUCGCACUGUCCAGCAGCAUAGGAUUGGAGUAGACUAUUGGAGAACACUGUAGGACGGAGAGGGAGUAGAAGGAGCCAGGAAUGAAAAACAAACAAUAUUCCCAAAGAGCAGUGAAACAAAAAUAUUCUUAAUAAGCAUACAUAACAGGAAAUGUAUAUACAAAUGUGAAUGGAUACGGCUGACAGUUGGUAUAGAAGCACUAAAUAAAAUUACUAAUUACAAAAAAAAAUAAAAAAAA
rnacentral:lncRNA from 1 species